rnacentral:rRNA from 1 species
GACAGCAGUCGCCGCGGUAAAACGGAGGGUGCAAGCGUUAAUCGGAAUUACUGGGCGUAAAGCGCACGCAGGCGGUCUGACAAGUCAGAUGUGAAAUCCCCGGGCUUAACCUGGGAACUGCAUUUGAAACUGUCAGGCUGGAGUCUUGUAGAGGGGGGUGGAAUUCCAGGUGUAGCGGUGAAAUGCGUAGAGAUCUGGAGGAAUACCGGUGGCGAAGGCGGCCCCCUGGACAAAGACUGACGCUCAGGUGCGAAAGCGUGGGGAGCAAACAGGAUUAGAUACCCCAGUAGUCCCUGUCUCUUAUAC